UAGCGGGAGGCCUAACACAUGCAGGCCGAGCGGUAGAGAUUCUUCGGAAUCUUGAGAGCGGCGUACGGGUGCGGAACACGUGUGCAACCUGCCUUUAUCUGGGGGAUAGCCUUUCGAAAGGAAGAUUAAUACCCCAUAACAUUUUGAAUGGCAUCAUUUAAAAUUGAAAACUCCGGUGGAUAGAGAUGGGCACGCGCAAGAUUAGAUAGUUGGUGAGGUAACGGCUCACCAAGUCUACGAUCUUUAGGGGGCCUGAGAGGGUGAUCCCCCACACUGGUACUGAGACACGGACCAGACUCCUACGGGAGGCAGCAGUGAGGAAUAUUGGACAAUGGGUGAGAGCCUGAUCCAGCCAUCCCGCGUGAAGGACGACGGCCCUAUGGGUUGUAAACUUCUUUUGUAUAGGGAUAAACCUACUCUCGUGAGAGUAGCUGAAGGUACUAUACGAAUAAGCACCGGCUAACUCCGUGCCAGCAGCCGCGGUAAUACGGAGGGUGCAAGCGUUAUCCGGAUUUAUUGGGUUUAAAGGGUCCGUAGGCGGAUCUGUAAGUCAGUGGUGAAAUCUCACAGCUUAACUGUGAAACUGCCAUUGAUACUGCAGGUCUUGAGUGUUGUUGAAGUAGCUGGAAUAAGUAGUGUAGCGGUGAAAUGCAUAGAUAUUACUUAGAACACCAAUUGCGAAGGCAGGUUACUAAGCAACAACUGACGCUGAUGGACGAAAGCGUGGGGAGCGAACAGGAUUAGAUACCCUGGUAGUCCACGCCGUAAACGAUGCUAACUCGUUUUUGGAUUUUCGGAUUCAGAGACUAAGCGAAAGUGAUAAGUUAGCCACCUGGGGAGUACGUUCGCAAGAAUGAAACUCAAAGGAAUUGACGGGGGCCCGCACAAGCGGUGGAUUAUGUGGUUUAAUUCGAUGAUACGCGAGGAACCUUACCAAGGCUUAAAUGGGAAAUGACAGGUUUAGAAAUAGACUUUUCUUCGGACAUUUUUCAAGGUGCUGCAUGGUUGUCGUCAGCUCGUGCCGUGAGGUGUUAGGUUAAGUCCUGCAACGAGCGCAACCCCUGUCACUAGUUGCCAUCAUUAAGUUGGGGACUCUAGUGAGACUGCCUACGCAAGUAGAGAGGAAGGUGGGGAUGACGUCAAAUCAUCACGGCCCUUACGCCUUGGGCCACACACGUAAUACAAUGGCCAGUACAGAGGGCAGCUACACGGUGACGUGAUGCAAAUCUCGAAAGCUGGUCUCAGUUCGGAUUGGAGUCUGCAACUCGACUCUAUGAAGCUGGAAUCGCUAGUAAUCGCGCAUCAGCCAUGGCGCGGUGAAUACGUUCCCGGGCCUUGUACACACCGCCCGUCAAGCCAUGGAAGUCUGGGGUACCUGAAGUCGGUGACCGUAAAAGGAGCUGCCUAGGGUAAAAC
rnacentral:rRNA from 1 species